AACUUUGGCUUUUGGAACACUAGACUAACCAUGUCAGGAUAACAUACUCCCUUGGAUUAUCAUCGGACUCGCAAAACCAGACUCCAACACGGGCUGAAAAUUUGAAAUGGGACCUGACACUCUUGGACACAGAUGUCGGCUACGACAGCGGCUUCAAAUACGCUUUGGUGACCAUAUUUCUAAUCGAGAGUUGUGCGAACGAGCCAGACAAACCAGCUGGGAGGAGGACGGAAGCACCCCUUCUCCAUCCGCGUUCAGUUGCUAAAUACGGAUCCACCCCGUAGUAAGUAACCUACCAUGUUUACGCACACAUUACUUUGACCAGCAAAGCCCAUGUCUUUCUAGUGGUUUACAAAAAUAUAUCGUUUGCAUGUUUUGCUUUGGUACGUCUCUGUUGUAUGACUCUGGUAAUAGUAGCAAGCACAAGCACAACCUGUUCGCCGCUCCAGCAUUGCAAAAUAGAUUGCCUUGGGUUUUCAAAUGUUUACAUGAUUGUGGGUGUAAUGUUGUUAACUCGCUGAUGUCGUUUUUGAGAAGACGGUAGUUUUGCAUUUGAUAAAUAGGCUACCACCUAAUGACCAUGACGGCUACACGGCAAAUCUUUAUUGUGAUGGCUACACUGAAUGAUCACAUGGAGAUGCCGGUACAUUAUUUGUUUUACCCUGGUUAUAUUGAAAUGUUCUGCUUUGUCCAUUCCAAGGUGUGGUGUUUUCCAUAGCUGUUCCUUGCUCCUGUUUCACAACAUAUCAAGGCUGCCAAGUAAAUGAAGAAUGAAUCACCGCACACUGGUCAACAGCCGACAGGGUCCUUCCACAACCACAUACUUAUGCCAGUAAAAGCCACAGCUUUUCUCCUCCAAUCCAAGAAGCCUGGACUGCAGUCACCAUCUCAACACACCAACCAAGAGAAAGGCGGAUGGCUCAAUUCAAUAUGGAAAAUUGCACAAUAAAAGUUCCAGGACAUGAAGGCUGCAUACUGUGAACGUCAACCUUCAGGACACCGUCCUGCGCAGAAGACUUUCUACCCUAAGAGGGAUGGCUGACCGCAGACACUCACAACCAGCACAGACGCCUCCAACCUCAAACUGGGCCCUUCACAGUUGCUGCACUUACCCACCUUCCCAGAGUUUUUGUGUGGUAAUGACAACUGUAAA